rnacentral:rRNA from 1 species
AGAGUUUGAUCAUGGCUCAGGAUGAACGCUGGCGGUGCGCCUAAUGCAUGCAAGUCGAGCGACGCAUUCCGGAGGGGUAACCCACUGGAAUGACGGAGCGGCGAACGGGUGAGUAACACGUGAGCAACCUGCCCCACAGACCGGGAUAGCCCAGGGAAACCUGGAUUAAUACCGGAUGCCCUCGAAGGACCGCAUGGUCCGUCGAGGAAAUGCCUUUGUGCUGUGGGAUGGGCUCGCGACUUAUCAGCUAGUUGGUGGGGUAACGGCCUACCAAGGCAUCGACGAGUAGCUGGUCUGAGAGGACGAUCAGCCACACUGGAACUGAGACACGGUCCAGACUCCUACGGGAGGCAGCAGCAGGGAAUCUUGCGCAAUGGGCGAGAGCCUGACGCAGCGACACCGCGUGGGGGAUGAAGGCCUUCGGGUUGUAAACCCCUUUCAGGAGGGAAGAAAUUGACGGUACCUCCACAAGAAGGACCGGCCAACUACGUGCCAGCAGCCGCGGUAAUACGUAGGGUCCGAGCGUUAUCCGGAAUCAUUGGGCGUAAAGAGCUCGUAGGCGGUUCAGAAAGUCGGCUGUGAAAGUUCGAGGCUCAACCUCGAAAUUGCAGUCGAUACUUCUGUGACUCGAGUCCGGUAGAGGAGAAUGGAAUUCCCGGUGUAGCGGUGAAAUGCGCAGAUAUCGGGAGGAACACCAGUAGCGAAGGCGGUUCUCUGGGCCGGUACUGACGCUAAGGAGCGAAAGCGUGGGGAGCAAACAGGAUUAGAUACCCUGGUAGUCCACGCCGUAAACGUUGGACACUAGGUGUGGCGGUCUACCAACGACUGCCGUGCCGAAGCUAACGCAUUAAGUGUCCCGCCUGGGGAGUACGGCCGCAAGGCUAAAACUCAAAGGAAUUGACGGGUCCCCCCACAAACGGGGGAGCAUGCGGCUUUAUUUUAUGCAACCCCAAGAACCUUCCCUGGGGUUGACUUCACCGGGAAAAAAUGUAGAAAAUACAAUGUCCCUUUAUGGUCCCUGACACAGAGGGGGAAGGGCUGUCGUCAACUCCUCGGCCCGGAGAAGGAUGGGGGUUAAAUUCCCCCCACCCAAAGGCAAA